AUGUCCAGUUUUGCAGUAGAGAUGGAACUAAGAAAGAAAACCAUUGACUAUAACCCCAAAAGAACCAGAUUUCGCAAACAACAUAGAGGAAGAAUGAAAGGAAAAUUCGAAAAUCCUGCCGAGGCAAUCAUAUUUGUUUUGAUAGAUAUGCUCUUCAAGCACUUGAACCCGCUUGGAUCACGGCGAGACAGAUAG
rnacentral:rRNA from 1 species